AGUGCUGUGAGUAAUGUGUGGGAAGAAGAUGAGAGACAAUGCACUACAAACACAAAGUUUUAUAGUGGUUCGGAGCUAACCCUUGCUCCUACGUCCACUCCCCAAGUCUCACUUGGGAAUUUCACUAUAACUCCCUUGGAUUACAGCCGGUUGUUUUGCAAGCUCACAACCGAACUUGUUGUUUUACGAGCUCACAACGAACUCGGUC
rnacentral:lncRNA from 1 species